rnacentral:rRNA from 1 species
UACGGGAGGCAGCAGUGGGGAAUAUUGCACAAUGGGCGAAAGCCUGAUGCAGCUAUGCCGCGUGUAUGAAGAAGGCCUUAGGGUUGUAAAGUACUUUCAUCGGGGAGGAAAAAACAAAACUAAUAAUUUUAUUUCUUGACGUUACCCGAAAAAGAAGCACCGGCUAACUCCGUGCCAGCAGCCGCGGUAAUACGGAGGGUGCUAGCGUUAAUCAGAAUUACUGGGCGUAAAGAGCACGUAGGUGGUUUUUUUAAGUCAGAUGUGAAAUCCCUGGGCUUAACCUAGGAACUGCAUUUUGAAACUGAAAUACUAGAGUAUCGUAGAGGGAGGUAGAAUUCUAGGUGUAGCGGUGAAAUGCGUAGAUAUCUGGAGGAAUACCUGUGGCGAAAGCGGCCUCCUAAACGAAUACUGACACUGAGGGUGCGAAAGCGUGGGGAGCAAAACAGGGAUUAAGAUACC